GCGACCAUAGUAUAAUUGGAUAAUACUACAUUCCUCUAAAGUGUACGAUGGGGGUUCGAGUCCCUCUGGUCGCGCCA
rnacentral:tRNA from 1 species